rnacentral:rRNA from 1 species
AGACCCGAAACCCGGUGAUCUAGCCAUGGGCAGGUUGAAGGUUGGGUAACACUAACUGGAGGACCGAACCGACUAAUGUUGAAAAAUUAGCGGAUGACCUGUGGCUGGGGGUGAAAGGCCAAUCAAACCGGGAGAUAGCUGGUUCUCCCCGAAAGCUAUUUAGGUAGCGCCUCGUGAAUUCAUCUCCGGGGGUAGAGCACUGUUUCGGCUAGGGGGCCAUCCCGGCUUACCAACCCGAUGCAAACUGCGAAUACCGGAGAAUGUUAUCACGGGAGACACACGGCGGGUGCUAACGUCCGUCGUGAAGAGGGAAACAACCCAGACCGCCAGCUAAGGUCCCAAAGUCAUGGUUAAGUGGGAAACGAUGUGGGAAGGCCCAGACAGCCAGGAUGUUGGCUUAGAAGCAGCCAUCAUUUAAAGAAAGCGUAAUAGCUCACUGGUCGAGUCGGCCUGCGCGGAAGAUGUAACGGGGCUAAACCAUGCACCGAAGCUGCGGCAGCGAACGUAUCACCCAAGACAACUUUACGGAGUUGACGAUUGACGGAGCGAAGCGACGUCAAAGCGUUCAUUAAAGUCGAGUUGGCUUAGGGAUACGUUCGUUGGGUAGGGGAGCGUUCUGUAAGCCUGUGAAGGUGUGUCGUGAGGCAUGCUGGAGGUAUCAGAAGUGCGAAUGCUGACAUAAGUAACGAUAAAGCGGGUGAAAAGCCCGCUCGCCGGAAGACCAAGGGUUCCUGUCCAACGUUAAUCGGGGCAGGGUGAGUCGACCCCUAAGGCGAGGCCGAAAGGCGUAG